UCUAUUCCUUGGUUAUCCUAACUUCAAGGAUUUUCAGAACUCUAACUUAAGGUGAAAAAUGGUGAACAAUAAUGAACAAUCAGCUCCAGCAACAUCAUCUUCUGAGGACGCAACACCCACAAGGAACGUGCGGGGUCUACUCGAGGGCUUAAGUUGGAUGCCCUAAUUGCUGCCAACCAAGGGAAGUUGUGUGUUCACUUCUCAGAGUUAGAAGGAAAGCCUGACUGCGAAAAUGUCAGUCCACUCGCAAACGAGUGUGGGGUGAUUGUUCGUUCCCUUUCCCCGUUACAAUACAAGUCGUGGACGAAAAUACCUAUUCGUGAGAGAGACGCGCUGUUUGAAAGACUCAAGAAUAAAUUCAUUUUUAGACACUUCUUUGCCAAUGGUGAAGGAGUUCUUAAUGAAAUAUAUGGGCAGUAAGUAAUCAAACCGCAGGAAUAAAAUGUCAAUUCAUUUUCAAGAGUCCUUGAAAGCUGAAACAUAUGAAGAUGCCAAGAUAAAGCCUUAUGAAAACGUGUCGCUGGAAGAUUGGGACUGGUUGUGCGACCAUGUGUUUUCCAGUGAAAGUUUCAAGAAGCGCUCUGCAGCAGGUGCAAAAGCAAGAGAAGUUGUUCCGUUCAACCAUUGUGGAGGUUCUAAGUCACAUGUGGUCCACAGGGCGGAGCUGGAUUCGAGCAAGGUUACAUUCAAAUAUUCUAUGACACCCAUUCAUUUACCAAUAAAGAAACAGGCGAAGUUGUUUGGAUUUCUGAUGAAGCUCGCAUCAAAUGGGACACGAUGAAUGAGCUAAUGCAGCAAGGCAGCGAAGCGGGAGCUACACCACCCACUGAGGCUGAAGUAUGUGCUCAGGUUUUAAAGAAAAAACAAAGACGACGCCGUUCUGCGACCACUGUUUCUAACAAUGAAAGAAUUCAUGAAAUGCUGUAAGCGCAGGCUGAUAGAAUUCAAGCUCAGGAAGAGCAGAUACGCGCCCAGAAUGAGGUUAUCAAAAAGAUGAAGGAAGACAGUGAAAAGGUCAUAAGAAACACACAAGAUAUGAUGAUACGUUCUCUCGGGUUGAACAAUAUUACCGCUAGUGGAUCUGAACAAC